UACGGAGGGGGCGAGCGUUAUUCGGAAUUAUUGGGCGUAAAGGGCGCGUAGGCGGCUUGACAAGUCAAAGGUGAAAUCCCUCGGCUCAACUGAGGAACUGCCUUUGAAACUGUCAGGCUUGAGGCCGGGAGGGGUAGCGGAAUUCCCAGUGUAGCGGUGAAAUGCGUAGAUAUUGGGAGGAACACCAGUGGCGAAGGCGGCUACCUGGACCGGUACUGACGCUGAUGCGCGAAAGCGUGGGUAGCAACAGG
rnacentral:rRNA from 1 species